CGGCGGACGGGUGAGUAACACGUGGAUAACCUACCUAUAAGACUGGGAUAACUUCGGGAAACCGGAGCUAAUACCGGAUAAUAUAUUGAACCGCAUGGUUCAAUGGUGAAAGACGGUUUUGCUGUCACUUAUAGAUGGAUCCGCGCCGCAUUAGCUAGUUGGUAAGGUAACGGCUUACCAAGGCAACGAUGCGUAGCCGACCUGAGAGGGUGAUCGGCCACACUGGAACUGAGACACGGUCCAGACUCCUACGGGAGGCAGCAGAA
rnacentral:rRNA from 1 species